ensembl:lncRNA
GAAUGACUUAAAAUGCAUUCAUGAUAGCUGUGUUAAAGUGGUAAAGAAGUGCUAAUGUAUUUAAUUCUACUAAAAACCAGAGGCAUAAAUGCAUAGAUCAUAACAUGGAAUAUCUACACUAGUCUGAGUUGUUGUUUGUUUGUUUUUAUUUUUUGAACCUGGUAGAUUUUAUUCAUUGUUUUUUUUUUUUUUAAAUAAAAAAAAUUGCAUAAUUUAAUUUCACUGCAUUCAUGUUAUUUUUUACUCUAUCAUUAGAGUGCUGUAAAAAAAAAAAGUGCCCUCUUCCUGGUUUCUUAUUUUCUGCAUAUUUGUCACACUUGACCUAAACAGAGUACACUGUAAACCCAAAUACUCAAAGUAAUUAAAUAAAUUAAGUAAUGUAACCUUUUUUUUAAACAGGCCUACUAGCUCAAAUAGCUUAUGCUCAUCUAACAUUUUCCUCCAUUUGAAAUAGUUCAACUUAUUAUUUUUGAUCCACUCUGAUCAACAGUUAUUUUUGCAUAAUUUCAUUUUACUUAUUUAUUUAAAUACCGUGGCAGUCAUAUUUGGGAAGUUUUGAUUCCUGAGGUCGAUUUGACCCUAAACCUGAAAGUUAUUAAAUUGUUUUUUUUUCCCCUUCUUUUUUGCUUUGUUGUUUUGGGUUGCAUUUUAGGUUAUUGUAGUCAAAAGGUGGAUGUCAAAUAUAGUCAAAAUAUUGGAGUCUGGAUAAGCUUCACCUUUUAAGUUCAUCAGCUUAAAAAACCUGAAGAAGCUCUGCUAACUUGUUCAGGUUUACAGUGUAGCUUUGCAUAAUUCACAGUUCAAUGUAAGCCUCAUAAACCUUAAACUAGACCUUGAUGUAGCCCAUCAAUUCAUCCACUGUCUAAAAAUAAACUCCUUUCAGCUUCCUCCCUUCAGGUCAGCUUUCUUCUGAUUGGUUGUUGAUUGGUUUGCUGAAUAGGUGUGUGGCCUGUUGUGCUGACCAUAAGAAAAGAAAAGAAAAGAAAAGAAAAGAAAAGAAAAGAAAAAAUGAUCAUGUUUUGGCUCACAGGGAUGAUUUUUUCAUAGGCUGACCUCUUUAUUUGAUAAUUCUGCCAGGCUUAUUAUAGGUAUCCAACAAUAUAUGACACACAUAGCUUGCUGUGCAUGUUGCUGCUCAUUUUAGUUCCACAGCGGCAUAUUUGAAUUGUUUUAGUUGCUUACUUGCUUUGUUUUGUUGUUGUUGUUGUUGUUUUUUUUUUUUUUGUCUUACCCUGAAACUACACAAAGGGUGGCGUUAAAAAAAACCCAUCAUGGCAAUGUGCUCUCUAAGUUUAUUUCACCUGAUCAUUUGAUCGUUCCCUUAGUUCCCAAGAAGGGGGACUUGUAACAAUUUUUCCCCCUUUUUUAGUAUUUAAUCCAUGAAAGUCAACAUGGCUUUGCAAUUUUAUUGCAUUUUCAGUAGCAAAA